CAGUCGCCACGGUAAAACGGAGGGGGCUAGCGUUGUUCGGAAUUACUGGGCGUAAAGCGCACGUAGGCGGCCGUUUAAGUUAGAGGUGAAAGCCCGGGGCUCAACCCCGGAAUUGCCUUUGAUACUGGACGGCUUGAAUCCGGGAGAGGUGAGUGGAAUUCCGAGUGUAGAGGUGAAAUUCGUAGAUAUUCGGAAGAACACCAGUGGCGAAGGCGGCUCACUGGACCGGCAUUGACGCUGAGGUGCGAAAGCGUGGGGAGCAAACAGGAUUAGAUACCCGGGUAGUCCCUGUCUCUUAUAA
rnacentral:rRNA from 1 species